rnacentral:rRNA from 1 species
UGGGGAAUAUUGCGCAAUGGGGGAAACCCUGACGCAGCGACGCCGUGUGAGGGAAGAAGGCUCUCGGGUCGUAAACCUCUGUCGGGAAGGAAGAACCUCUCAGGGCUGAACAAGCCCUGGGACUGACGGUACUUCCAAAGGAAGCACCGGCUAACUCCGUGCCAGCAGCCGCGGUAAUACGGAGGGUGCAAGCGUUAAUCGGAAUCACUGGGCGUAAAGCGCGCGUAGGCCGUCUUUUAAGUCGGACGUGAAAGCCCUCGGCUCAACCGGGGAACUGCGUUCGAUACUGGGAGACUUGAGUCCUGGAGAGGGUGGCGGAAUUCCGGGUGUAGGAGUGAAAUCCGUAGAUAUCCGGAGCAACACCGGUGGCGAAGGCGGCCACCUGGACAGGUACUGACGCUGAGGCGCGAAAGCGUGGGGAGCAAACA